GACGAACGCUGGCGGCGUGCUUAACACAUGCAAGUCGAACGAAGAGCGACGGAAGCUUGCUUCUAUCAAUCUUAGUGGCGAACGGGUGAGUAACGCGUAAUCAACCUGCCCUUCAGAGGGGGACAACAGUUGGAAACGACUGCUAAUACCGCAUACGAUCUAACCUCGGCAUCGAGGAUAGAUGAAAGGUGGCCUCUACAUGUAAGCUAUCACUGAAGGAGGGGAUUGCGUCUGAUUAGCUAGUUGGAGGGGUAACGGCCCACCAAGGCGAUGAUCAGUAGCCGGUCUGAGAGGAUGAACGGCCACAUUGGGACUGAGACACGGCCCAGACUCCUACGGGAGGCAGCAGUGGGGAAUCUUCCGCAAUGGACGAAAGUCUGACGGAGCAACACCGCGUGAGUGAUGACGGCCUUCGGGUUGUAAAGCUCUGUUAAUCGGGACGAAAGGCCUUCUUGCGAAUAGGGAGAAGGAUUGACGGUACCGGAAGAGAAAGCCACGGCUAACUACGUG
rnacentral:rRNA from 1 species